rnacentral:rRNA from 1 species
AUUGAACGCUGGCGGCAGGCUUAACACAUGCAAGUCGAGCGGUAGCACAGGGGAGCUUGCUCCCUGGGUGACGAGCGGCGGACGGGUGAGUAAUGUCUGGGAAACUGCCUGAUGGAGGGGGAUAACUACUGGAAACGGUAGCUAAUACAGCAUAACGUCGCAAGACCAAAGAGGGGGAGAUUCGGGCCUCUUGCGAUCAGGUGUGCCCAGAUGGGCUUAGCUAGUAGGUGGGGUAAUGGCUCCCCUAGGCGGCGAGCCCUUGCUGGUGUGAGAGGAUGACCGGCCACAAGAGAACUUGAACACGGUCCCUACUCCUACGGGAGGGAGCAGUGGGGAAUGGUGGACAAUGGGGGCAAGCCUGAUGCAGCCAUGCCGCGUGUGUGAAGGAGGCCUUCGGGUUGUAAAGCACUUUCAGCGGGGAGGAAGGUGGUGAGCUUAAUACGUUCAGCAAUUGACGGUACUCGCAGAAGAAGCACCGGCUAACUCCGUG